rnacentral:tRNA from 1 species
GCGCGAGUGGCGGAAUGGCAGACGCGCUGGCUUCAGGUGCCAGUCCUGGCAACAGGGUGGAGGUUCAACUCCUCUCUCGCGCACCA